rnacentral:rRNA from 1 species
GUGGGGAAUCUUAGACAAUGGGGGAAACCCUGAUCUAGCCAUGCCGCGUGGGCGAUGAAGGCCUUAGGGUUGUAAAGCUCUUUCAGCUGGGAAGAUAAUGACGGUACCAGCAGAAGAAGCCCCGGCUAACUCCGUGCCAGCAGCCGCGGUAAUACGGAGGGGGCUAGCGUUGUUCGGAAUUACUGGGCGUAAAGCGCGCGUAGGCGGACCAGAAAGUUGGAGGUGAAAUCCCAGGGCUCAACCUUGGAACUGCCUUCAAAACUCCUGGUCUGGAGUUCGAGAGAGGUGAGUGGAAUUCCGAGUGUAGAGGUGAAAUUCGUAGAUAUUCGGAGGAACACCAGUGGCGAAGGCGGCUCACUGGCUCGAUACUGACGCUGAGGUGCGAAAGCGUGGGGAGCAAACAGGAUUAGAUACCCGUGUAGUCC